GAAGGGGGCUAGCGUUGCUCGGAAUUACUGGGCGUAAAGGGCGCGUAGGCGGACAGUUUAGUCAGAGGUGAAAGCCCAGGGCUCAACCUUGGAAUUGCCUUUGAUACUGGCUGUCUUGAGUUCGGGAGAGGUGAGUGGAAUGCCGAGUGUAGAGGUGAAAUUCGUAGAUAUUCGGCGGAACACCAGUGGCGAAGGCGACUCACUGGCCCGAUACUGACGCUGAGGCGCGAAAGCGUGGGGAGCAAACAGGAUUAGAUACCCUGGUAGUCCACGCUGUAAACGAUGAGUGCUAGUUGUCGGCAUGCAUGCAUGUCGGUGACGCAGCUAACGCAUUAAGCACUCCGUCUGGGGAGUACGGUCGCAAGAUUA
rnacentral:rRNA from 1 species